rnacentral:rRNA from 1 species
AGAGUUUGAUCCUGGCUCAGGAUGAACGCUAGCGGCAGGCUUAAUACAUGCAAGUCGAGGGGCAGCACGGGUAGCAAUACUUGGUGGCGACCGGCGCACGGGUGCGUAACGCGUAUGCAACCUACCUAUAACUGGGGCAUAGCUCAGAGAAAUCUGGAUUAAUUCCCCAUAACAUAAUGAAGAGGCAUCUUUUUAUUAUUAAAGCUCCGGCGGUUAUAGAUGGGCAUGCGUGACAUUAGCUUGUUGGUGAGGUAACGGCUCACCAAGGCAACGAUGUCUAGGGGUUCUGAGAGGAUGAUCCCCCACACUGGUACUGAGACACGGACCAGACUCCUACGGGAGGCAGCAGUAGGGAAUAUUGGGCAAUGGGCGCAAGCCUGACCCAGCCAUGCCGCGUGCAGGAUGACGGCCCUAUGGGUUGUAAACUGCUUUUGUGCGAGAAAAAACCCCCGGUCGUGAAUCGGGGUUGAUGGUAUCGUUCGAAUAAGCAUCGGCUAACUCCGUGCCAGCAGCCGCGGUAAUACGGAGGAUGCAAGCGUUAUCCGGAUUUAUUGGGUUUAAAGGGUGCGCAGGCGGAUUCUUAAGUCAGUGGUGAAAUCCUACAGCUUAACUGUAGAACUGCCAUUGAUACUGGGAGUCUUGAAUUUAGUUGGAGUGGCUGGAAUGUGUCAUGUAGCGGUGAAAUGCAUAGAGAUGACACAGAACACCGAUAGCGAAGGCAGGUCACUAAGCUAAUAUUGACGCUCAUGCACGAAAGCGUGGGGGAUCAAACAGGAUUAGAUACCCUGGUAGUCACGCUGUAAACGAUGAUAACUAGCUGUUGGCGAUACACAGUCAGUGGCUGAGCGAAAGCAUUAAGUUAUCCACUGGGGAGUACGACCGCAAGGUUGAAACUCAAAGGAAUUGACGGGGGCCCGCACAAGCGGAGGAGCAUGUGGUUUAAUUCGAUGAUACGCGAGGAACCUUACCUGGGCUCGAACGUGGAGGGAAUAAUGCCGAAAGGUAUUAGUCUUCGGACCGUCUACGAGGUGCUGCAUGGUUGUCGUCAGCUCGUGCCGUGAGGUGUUAGGUUAAGUCCUGUAACGAGCGCAACCCUUAUCUUUAGUUGCCAGCAUGUAAUGAUGGGGACUCUAAAGAAACUGCCGGCGCAAGCCGUGAGGAAGGUGGGGAUGACGUCAAAUCAGCACGGCCCUUAUGUCCAGGGCGACACACGUGCUACAAUGGUCGGUACAGAGGGCAGCUACAUGGUGACAUGAUGCUAAUCUCGAAAACCGAUCUCAGUUCGGAUCGAAGUCUGCAACUCGACUUCGUGAAGUUGGAUUCGCUAGUAAUCGCGCAUCAGCCAUGGCGCGGUGAAUACGUUCCCGGGCCUUGUACACACCGCCCGUCAAGCCAUGGAAGUUGGGGGGACCUGAAGUCUGUAACCGUAAGGAGCGGCCUAGGGUAAAACCAAUGACUGGGGCUAAGUCGUAACAAGGUAACC